AAUGAACGUUGGCGGCGUGGAUUAGGCAUGCAAGUCGAGCGAUGAAGGGGAGCUUGCUCCUUGGAUUAGCGGCGAAAGGGUGAGUAACGCGUGGAUAACCUGCCCUCAGGUCCGGGAUAGCGGCGGGAAACUGCCGGUAAUACCGGAUGAUAUUUCCGGAUCAAAGGUGUGAUUCCGCCUGAGGAUGGGUCCGCGUCCUAUUAGCUUGUUGGUGGGGUAAAGGCCUACCAAGGCUACGAUGGGUAGCGGGCGUGAGAGCGUGGCCCGUCACACUGGGACUGAGACACUGCCCAGACACCUACGGGUGGCUGCAGUCGAGAAUCUUCGGCAAUGGACGAAAGUCUGACCGAGCGACGCCGCGUGCGGGAUGAAGGCCCUCGGGUUGUAAACCGCUGUCAGAGGGGAUGAAAUGCAUUGGGGUUCUCCCCUUUGUUUGACAAAUCCUCAGAGGAAGUCCGGGCUAAGUUCGUGCCAGCCGCCGCCGUAACAC
rnacentral:rRNA from 1 species